CUGGCGGCAUGCCUUAACAUGCAUUUCGAACGGCAGCAUAGGAGCUUGCUCCUGAUGGCGAGUGGCGAACGGGUGAGUAAUAUAUCGGAACGUGCCCUAGAGUGGGGGAUAACUAGUCGAAAGAUUAGCUAAUACCGCAUACGAUCUACGGAUGAAAGUGGGGGAUCGCAAGACCUCAUGCUCCUGGAGCGGCCGAUAUCUGAUUAGCUAGUUGGUGAGGUAAAAGCUCACCAAGGCGACGAUCAGUAGCUGGUCUGAGAGGACGACCAGCCACACUGGGACUGAGACACGGCCCAGACUCCUACGGGAGGCAGCAGUGGGGAAUUUUGGACAAUGGGGGCAACCCUGAUCCAGCAAUGCCGCGUGAGUGAAGAAGGCCUUCGGGUUGUAAAGCUCUUUUGUCAGGGAAGAAACGGUUGAGGCUAAUAUCCUCGGCUAAUGACGGUACCUGAAGAAUAAGCACCGGCUAACUACGUGCCAGCAGCCGCGGUAAUACGUAGGGUGCAAGCGUUAAUCGGAAUUACUGGGCGUAAAGCGUGCGCAGGCGGUUGUGUAAGUCAGAUGUGAAAUCCCCGGGCUCAACCUGGGAAUUGCAUUUGAGACUGCACGGCUAGAGUGUGUCAGAGGGGGGUAGAAUUCCACGUGUAGCAGUGAAAUGCGUAGAUAUGUGGAGGAAUACCGAUGGCGAAGGCAGCCCCCUGGGAUAACACUGACGCUCAUGCACGAAAGCGUGGGGAGCAAACAGGAUUAAAUACCCUGGUAGUCCCCCCCCUAAACGAUGUCUACUAGUUGUCGGGUCU
rnacentral:rRNA from 1 species